UACGAAGGGUGCAAGCGUUAUCCGGAUUUACUGGGUUUAAAGGGUGUGUAGGCGGGCCAUUAAGCCUGGGGUGAAAUCUCCCCGCUCAACGGGGAAACGGCCAUUGAUACCGUAGGACUUGAAUUAUUAGGAAGUAACUAGAAUAUGUAGUGUAGCGGUGAGAUGCUUAGAGAUUACAUGGAAUACCAAUUGCGAAGGCAGGUUACUACUAAUGGAUUGACGUUGAUGGACGAAAGCGUGGGUAGCGAACAGG
rnacentral:rRNA from 1 species